rnacentral:rRNA from 1 species
UACGUAGGGUGCAAGCGUUGUCCGGAAUUAUUGGGCGUAAAGAGCUCGUAGGCGGUUUGUAACGUCGGCCGUGAAAACUCGGGGCUCAACCUCGAGCCUGCGGUCGAUACGGGCAGACUAGAGUGCUGUAGGGGAGACUGGAAUUCCUGGUGUAGCGGUGAAAUGCGCAGAUAUCAGGAAGAACACCCGUGGCGAAGGCGGCUCUCUGGGACGGUACUGACGCUGAGGCGCGAAAGCGUGGGGAGCGAACAGG